ensembl:lncRNA
ACACAUUAUAUGUGGUAAUGUAUGGAUGUUUAUGUCUGUAUUGCUCAAAAGUUCUGCUUUAGGAAUCGUCUUUGAAAUUAUCUACAUCACCAUUCACUGAUGACAAGCUAAUAUCCUUAAAACAGCUGUAAGUAUUUUUCCUCUCCUUGGGGUUCUGAAAUCACAAAUGUAGUUUAAAUGUAUACUUGUUUAAUCUUAAGUCUUACAAAAAUUUCUUCUAUUUAGAGAUUAUAGUUUACUUAGUGACUAUGAUAACAGAGUCCUCUGCAAGGACAAAGAGAAGAAAUUCCACUGAAAAGGUAAACAACAACAACAACAACAACCAAACAGAAACACAAACCAUUUAGUUAUAGAAACAGUUUCAGGAUGUCAGGAUGGAAGUCAGGAAGUCAGGAUGGAAGACAGACUAGUAGUAAACUUGCCAAGAAGUUUGUGUUGUGUGUCUGAUCAUGCAAUACAUCAGUCGCCUCUUACAUCUGUUACUUAUUACUUCAUAAUUGAUUCACCUUGUUUAAACUGUUCUUUUCAACUGUUGACUCAACUGAAUUUUCUUUGUUUUAUAUAGCUAAAUUACAAAUUUUGGGGAGUGAAUCAAAGUUAGAAAACUCUUCCAGGGUGGUUUCUGUUAGCUGAAAGUAUCAGCAGUUUUUUAUGAGUAUAUGCUAAGCAGUCUUUGAGGUGGGAUUUUUCUUCCUUAAUAAUAAGGCAGGUUAAAUAGCAUCCGGUUUAAAAUUGGUACGAUCUUUAGCUUGUUGGCAAGCAGUGAGGUUCCAAUUCUGCCUAUAAAGGAAAGGAACUAGCAUUUGCUAAUUAAAUCUAACAGCUGUUUCACAGACACUAUUGCUAAUAGCUACCAACUAAACUUGAAGCCAUUACUCUGGAUUGUUUAAUGAACUGCUUUUAAUACAUAGUAAGUGCUAACUUCUGUAUCUCGAUUUCUUGAGCAAGCAGGAAGGAGUGUUUAAACGCACAUCACCCUUCAAACUUCUAUAGUAUCAUAGGAAGUGUCUGUGCAAUGAAGUACAAAAAUUUGAGACUUUCUUUAUGCUAUACAAAUCUAUACAUAGGAUCCUAGAGAGAGUAGUACUAUUUAAAAUAAUUCUGACAGCGCAUGUCAAAAAUUUACCAUUCUCUGAUGCUAUUCAGGGUUUGAUUGCAUUUUUCUCUCUUAAGGAGGUAUGUUAUGUAUGUUAUGUAAACUUGCAGCUUGUACUCUUUUGGAUUACUGCAUAAUUCAGAUGAUAAAACCAAAAUCCUCUCUGAACAUGCCAGGAUUUUUGCCUGUGAUUUUUUUAAUCAUUCUUUCUAAUCUUCAAGCACUAGAAAUAACUGGUGCAGAAUUCUGCAAAGGGCUUUCUUGUGCAGAUAUAUAUUAUUUGAAAUCACUUAAUGCUGCUAUUUCUAAUAAUCUUUUUACUUCUCAGCCAAUGGCUGUUGGAGAUUUCUGUAAACUGGAUUACAAUGAAUCACUGUCUUCCAAUCCUAAAUACUGGUAGUGUGAGCAUGUGUUAUAUUCAGUUGUACCAACGUCUGCAGGUACUACUUUUUCAGGUGCAACUGUGGAACUUCUGAAGAGUCUAAACAAGCUAAAUGAGUCUAUUCUAUCUUGCUGAGCUUCAACUGUUCAGAAAAUAAAAAUAGCUUGGUAAAAAUGAUUUUAUAACUUGAAUCAUAUAUGUCUAGGGAAACUGGAGAUAAAGCUUCAACACAAAAAAGUAGUAUAUAGGAAGUGAAAGUUUAGAGGGGUUAUCCUGAAGGACUAUGCAGACACUGUCUGGACAUAGAAGGACAGUUAGGAGAAUCAAAGUCUGCUAGUCGUGAAACUAGGGAGGGAUGUGAACAAUGGCAUAUGAGUGUGUCACAUAUUAACCUCCAUGUGUGACAUAUAAGCCUCUAUUUAGUACACUUAGAAGCAACAGAAAGGUGAAGGGAAAUGUAGGUUAGUUGGUUAAUAGGAUGGGUGACUUGCUUAUCAGAGAGGUAUACAGGUUGUCCUAUGAGGAGGAACUGGCUGAGCAAGGCUUUUACAGCCUAGGGAAGAUAGGCACGAAGAGCUGUCUUUGGUUUUGUUUACAGCAGAGGUGGUCAGGAAAUGAAGCGGAUACUUUGCAGUACAGGAGCUUAGGAAAAGAUACAAAAGUUGAUUGUGUUUUGUAUUAUUAGCAUGUUUGCAUUUGUUAGUCUGAUUUUGCCAGGACAGCUGUCAAACACGUGAACAGAUUGCUUAAGAACCUCCAUCCUUGGAGAUGUUAAGAACUUGAGUAGUUACAGUUGUGAGCAACCUGGGAGCAAAAAGAUGACUUCAGUGACCUCUUGAGAUCCCUUCUAACAUAAAUUACUGUUCCGUGAUUAUAACAUAGACUUACUCAAUUGCUCUAGAACCACUCUUUUUUAAAGACUUCUAGUCAGAGUUUUCCUCUAACCUGAUCCAAAAAGAAUGCCAGUGCCAAUUACAGGGGGAGGUACUGGACUAUUCAGAAUUACUUUCAGAUUUUGUUCAAUAUCAACAUUUAUUACUGAUUCAGAUGCAAAUUUGCUAGUAUUCAAGUGUUCCGUCUUUGAUACAUUUCUGUUUUGUAAGCAAAUUUCAGAGUCACUGAAACCACCUCCAGAGAGCAUCCCUUUCCCAGACCUAAUUUCUAAUUCUGUGAUAAAAUUGUUGAAAUGUGCCUUUAUUGAUUUCCCUUCCCCCAUCUUACAGAUACUUGUUACAUUGACUUAAGGUGCAUUUAAUCUUGUAUAUUUCCAUGGCAAAGUUUUGCGUUAGUAAUACAGAAUCUAGAAAUGGUAUUUUUUUCUCUCUCAAUUGAAAUUCAAACAAUCAAGCAACUGUAAAAUAAGAAAGGCUUUCAUUUUUUCCUUGUUGUAAUCUAGAUCUAACACAUCUCUUAGGUGCAGUAGAGGAUGAUAAAUAAAAAUAUUUGUUAGAAGUCUGCAUAUUUUCCUUCCCUGUUACUAGCUGACAUCUGCCUGAAAAAAAAAAAAAAAAAAAAAAAAAA